GGGGAAUUUAAAGGAUUCAUGUGUAUAUAUGUGAGAUAGAAAGGUUUAGUAAAUACAAUUUGCAUAUUAUAAUGGAUGUUAUCAUGUUGUUAUAUGUUACAAGAUAAAAAAAGAUACAAAUGGCGCUCUGAGAGAGAAGAAGCGGCGCAAGAAACUCAAAAAAACAAUAGUAACCUUACCUCUGGUACCACAUCAAUGGGCUCCACUUGAGCUGUCUUGGAUGAAAUUGGCAGAACAUUGAGAGCAUCAUCAAGAACUAGACACCGAGCAUUGUCCACUAAUGAGAGCAGAAAUCUCUCGUUAAAUCUGUUUACGACUGUGUCAUGUGCUUCAGUUUUGAAUCUGGAAUUAUUUUGUUCGUUCAAAUAAAAACAGUAUUCUGUC